AAAUAAGGGGUGCUUCACGAUUGUGUUGCUGAGAUUAUACCCAUAGAACCUGACGCAGAUAAUGCUGCCGCAGGGAUUG
rnacentral:ncRNA from 1 species